GAGGCAGCAGUAGGGAAUCUUCGUCAAUGGGGGCAACCCUSACCGAGCAACCCCGCGUGAGUGAAGAAGGUUUUCGGAUCGUAAAGMUCUGUUGUAAGUCAAGAACGGGUGUGAGAGUGGAAAGUUCACACUGUGACGGUAGCUUACCAGAAAGGGACGGCUAACUACGUGCCAGCACCCGCGGUAAUAMGUAGGUCCCGAGCGUUGUCCGGAUUUAUUGGGCGUAAAGCGAGCGCAGGCGGUUUGAUAAGUCUGAAGUUAAAGGCUGUGGCUCAACCAUAGUUCGCUUUGGAAACUGUCAAACUUGAGUGCAGAAGGGGAGAUGUGGAAUUCCACUGUGUAGCGGUGAAAUGCGUAGAUAUAUGGAGGAACANCCCGUGGCGAAAGCGGCUCUCUGGUCUG
rnacentral:rRNA from 1 species